GGCAGGAUGUAUAUAACCACCUCAGCUGUUGAUCUCUUUGGUUUGCUGGUUUGGGACUCACACCUGUGCUUUGUUGUAAGGAAGCUUAUUUCUCCAAGACUGAAGCAGAAAAGGGUCACACAACACCAACCCUGCAGAAACACUGGUCUCAGUGCCCUCCAUAAGGCUGUAGCCACCGCAUCCGAGCAGAUCCUGAUGCCUCCUCUCUCAGCACAUCGGCACAGAGGUUCUCUGGGCUACCAGGUCCCUGUUGGCUGUCACUGGAUGAAGCCAUGGAUGUGCAGUGUUAUCUGACAGAAGUCCACUUCUUUCCCCAGCUGAGAUAGAAGAGGUUAGAUGACUCCAGCAACGGCAAACAUCGCCCCUACCACCAGACAAGAUAAAAUAAAAUGUCCCCGCAAGCCA
rnacentral:lncRNA from 1 species